rnacentral:siRNA from 1 species
CUGACAGCCCAACUCUUGUAUC